rnacentral:rRNA from 1 species
UGAGGAAUAUUGGUCAAUGGGCGGGAGCCUGAACCAGCCAAGCCGCGUGAGGGAAGAAGGCCCUAUGGGUCGUAAACCUCUUUUGUCAGGGAACAAAAGCGAGUAUGUAUACUAGUCUGAGUGUACCUGAAGAAAAAGCAUCGGCUAACUCCGUGCCAGCAGCCGCGGUAAUACGGAGGAUGCGAGCGUUAUCCGGAUUUAUUGGGUUUAAAGGGUGCGUAGGCGGCGAUGCAAGUCAGCGGUAAAAGCCCGGGGCUCAACCCCGGCGAGCCGUUGAAACUGCAGUGCUAGAGAAGGCGAGAGGUACCCGGAAUGCGCAGUGUAGCGGUGAAUGCAUUAGAUAUUGCGCAGAACUCCGAUUGCGAAUGGCAGCGUACUGGCGCCUGACUGACGCUGAGGCACGAAAGCGUGGGGCAUCGAACAGGAGUUAGAUACC